CUGGACACACACGUGUCUUCCUUGGGAGACCAGACUGCUAAGUGAUGUGGUAGAGUUUCCUGACUCUUCUCCUGCAUAGAGCUUUAUUUAGCUAUCUGCACCACGGAGCUUGCACGAUACUAUUGUGUCGCUUGAUUUUUCCAAGUGCCGACUCCCAGCUGGCUGACAGCAAGAAGCUCCUUCAGAUGGCAGCAGAAAGGCCUGCUUAUUCUGCAAAGCUCGUUGCUGCUUGGUGGGACAGCAGGAGGACUUCUCCGUGCCUUUUCAGAUGGCAGCUCAGCGCUGCAGCACCUCAAUCGUCCCAGACAAGUCAGGGCAGGGCAGCCGUGCCCCAGCCGCGGUUUGCAGCGCAGGAUGGAUGAGCUUUCCUUUGAACUGCUGAACUACAAAUUCCCCUCCUGGCGAAGCAACCGUGGCGGGUGGGAUGAGGGGAAAGAAAGAGUUGCUCAGCGAAUAACGUACCGGUAUGCCUGUGUCUGGAGGAGAUGGAGGGCAGUUUUCAAAUUUCAUCCACAUGAUGGAUGUGGAAGGGAAGCCAUGGGAUAAGAGGACACCCGAACAGAAACAAGCUGCCUUUUUGUUGUUAAUAGCCAGGAAGUCUCUGCGGUGCAGAUGUGACAGCAACAGCAAAACCUAUUUUGAGGUCCUGUCCCAUGAAGUAGCUAAGCAGGGUGCUGAAGUGAAGUGGCUGCAAGGUUGCCAGAAGUACCAGUGUAUUCGUGGGGUCAUCCAAACAUGCAUUCAAAUUAUAAGUAGUGUAAGACUGCAAGGGAUUUCCUGGCCCCAAAGGAUGUAGGGUCUUUCUCAGCAGGAAGUGUCUUGCAUGUUUUCUGGUUUGAUGGAAAUUCUGAGGACCACUGUAAUGCAAAUAAAGUGAAGCAACAUUUGGUCCAUGUUAUGGCAAGAAGAGAUUGAAAAUGAAAGGGAAGAUGUUAUGCUGGGGAGAACUUCAGCAAGCGUCAGAUGAAGUUAUUGUCCAGGCUGGCUGUUAGCCUACUUGCUGCCAGCCCCGUUGGAGUCUGCCUUAUGAAAUGCCACUUCCAGCGAAGUCAGAACCUGCCUGUGAGCACUGCAGGGAUUGAAAUGACAGAGCAGUGAGAUGAGCUGCUCUUCCUAGGAAUCACUGAAGCACACAGCCUCCUUUUAAAGUGACUACAAAUUGAUCCUUAAUAGUUUCAUCUACCAUAUAAACUUGCUGGAUCGCAUUUUUACUGGAACCAAAUGGCAUGUGAAACUUCUGAUUUUCUGAGGCCCUUGAGUGAUGGAGCUGGUGACGUGAAGGCCACUUCUUGCAGCACUGACUAUAAACACAGGCAUCCUAGGAGGGGAGCCCAUUGCCUUUUGUCCGUUGAGCCUGGCCAUUCCCACUGAAGCCUGAUUUCAUGUGAGAUUGUGGAGUACAUCAAAGCAGAAGGAUAACAAAUGAAAUGAAUUGUUCUCCUGAGAGCCUGGCUUGCUGUUUCAAAAAAUUUGUUCAGCCUUCCACUAUCAGCAUGCCAGUGUGAGAUGAAAUUUGAAGACGUGGAAAUUCACGACAUGUAACAACAAUGUGUCUUGGGAGUGCUUUUUUUUUUGCCCUUUUUUUUUUUUUCUUCCUAUGUUCUUUAUGAUUGUUUUCUUCUUGUAGU